AGAGGGAAGUGGAAUUCCUAGUGUAGCGGUGAAAUGCGUAGAUAUUAGGAGGAACACCAGUGGCGAAGGCGGCUUCCUGGACUGUAACUGACGCUGAGGCACGAAAGCGUGGGGAGCAAACAGGAUUAGAUACCCCCGUAGUCACGUCCU
rnacentral:rRNA from 1 species